UCAACUAGACAUCUUGAUUAUUUCCCUUCAUAAUUCAACUGUUAGAUCCCAGCAAAAAAUUCUAGUUGAUGUUUCACUAGACCAUGAAUAAAAACGAAAGGGGCGCACCUGAUAUCUGAAGAAAAAGGUUAACAACAACGUUCGCUCUAGUUGAUGUUUCAUUAGACCAUGAAUAAAAACGAAAGGGGCGCACCUGAUAUCUGAAGAAAAAGGUUAACAACAACGUUCGAAUAUGAGCACCGUCUACAUCAGCAUCUGUUAAAAUUAUGAUUUUAUGAUAACGGAGAGCUUCCUUUUUAAAAUCCUCC
rnacentral:lncRNA from 1 species